rnacentral:rRNA from 1 species
AUUGAACGCUGGCGGCAUGCUUUACACAUGCAUGUCGAACGGUAACAGGCCGCAAGGUGCUGACGAGUGGCGAACGGGUGAGUAAUGCAUCGGAACGUGCCCAGUCGUGGGGGAUAACUACUCGAAAGAGUAGCUAAUACCGCAUACGAUCUAUGGAUGAAAGCGGGGGACCGUAAGGCCUCGCGCGAUUGGAGCGGCCGAUGUCAGAUUAGGUAGUUGGUGGGGUAAAGGCUCACCAAGCCAACGAUCUGUAGCUGGUCUGAGAGGACGACCAGCCACACUGGGACUGAGACACGGCCCAGACUCCUACGGGAGGCAGCAGUGGGGAAUUUUGGACAAUGGGCGCAAGCCUGAUCCAGCAAUGCCGCGUGCAGGAAGAAGGCCUUCGGGUUGUAAACUGCUUUUGUACGGAACGAAACGGCUCUGGUUAAUACCCGGGGCUAAUGACGGUACCGUAAGAAUAAGCACCGGCUAACUACGUG